rnacentral:rRNA from 1 species
GACGAACGCUGGCGGCGUGCCUAACACAUGCAAGUCGAACGGAAAGGCCCUGCUUGCAGGGUACUCGAGUGGCGAACGGGUGAGUAACACGUGGGUGAUCUGCCCUGCACUUCGGGAUAAGCCUGGGAAACUGGGUCUAAUACCGGAUAGGAGCCAUUUUUAGUGUGAUGGUUGGAAAGUUUUUUCGGUGUAGGAUGAGCUCGCGGCCUAUCAGCUUGUUGGUGGGGUAAUGGCCUACCAAGGCGGCGACGGGUAGCCGGCCUGAGAGGGUGGACGGCCACAUUGGGACUGAGAUACGGCCCAGACUCCUACGGGAGGCAUCAGUGGGGAAUAUUGCACAAUGGGCGCAAGCCUGAUGCAGCGACGCCGCGUGGGGGAUGACGGCCUUCGGGUUGUAAACUCCUUUCGCUAGGGACGAAGCUUUUUGUGACGGUACCUAGAUAAGAAGCACCGGCUAACUACGUG